rnacentral:lncRNA from 1 species
CAUGGAAUACCCAGGGCUUCAUCGCCUAAGGCCUAGUUCUUCUUCGAGAGAUGUCCCUGUGGGUGCUCCACUACAGGUGUUGGUGCGUCCCUGCGCCUUCGCCCGGAGAUUUUUGCAGCAGUACUCAUAGCGGCCACGCAUGCUCAGAAGCUGCCCCCCGCUGUGACUCUAGGUUAAUAGUACGCAUGCGUGGCCGGUCUCCUCAGUUCCUUCUCAACCGUCCCCGGCCUGAGACGGAGCUCAGCAGACUCAUUAGAAAAUCCUUCACUCUUGCCACAAUUACCCUUUAGUAACCAGUUCUUGUCAGUUUUCUCUGUUAGUAUAGUUACUUACCCCGUUUAUCUGUUUUAAAAAAAAUAAUAAUAAUAAUAAUUUCUGUCAGCCGCGGCUAUGCCGGGCUCCACAGGUUUCAAGCGCUGUGCUACCUGCAAGGAAGCUAUCCCAUUAUCGGAUGGACACUCAAAGUGUAUAAAAUGUUUGGGGGAAGCUCACAUUCCCAAAAAAUGUGCCCACUGCUGUAAACUCAGCUCCAGGGCACGGAAAGACAGGGAGCUUAAACUUAAACUGCUCCUCCUUCAAAAGUCUAUCGGGUCAGUUUCAGACCCAGGCGUUGAAGCCGGCUCCGCUGCCCGACACAGCCCCCCCGCCUCAAAAAAACUGAAAAAAUCUACGAAGAAGGGGCACCCUUCUUCACUAAACAAGGCUAUGAGGCACAAAGUAUCUCCAGGCAGAUCAACGAUCUCUCUGCCUGUGUUUCCUCACCUCAGCAACUUUCAUGAGCCGGGCUCUUCGGGAACCGCGCAAAAGCCACCUGAGGCUCCAGCGGCGCCGCGAGGCUCCGGUGCCGAGGCAUCAGGCUUCCAGUUGCCUGCCUCUGUUACGGCACCGUUCGGCACCGCGAAUGAGAUGGUGCCGACAUUCCACAGCAUGCCUGACCCCAGGCAGCCUAAUAUUGCCCGCCCGGCACCGACCGCGGCACCGACCCCUGCGGUGCACUCUGACACAGAGAUCACAGGCAGAAACCCCGAUCGCGGAAAUGCUCCUGUGCGGCAGCCUCUCCCGGCUCAGCUUUCAUCUCCCGCAGGAGCUUCAUUAACUCACUUUACCCAGACAGCAGAUCUUCUGGUAUCACCUACCUUGCAGUCUCCGCUCAUGAAUGAAUAUUCUUUUUCAAUGCCUGAGUCAGGAUCUGAGCAGUUUUCCUCCAGUGAGGAGGAAACAGAUCCGCAGGGAGUUUUUUCUCCAUAUCAUGACUCCCAGCCCCGGACCCAGGGCAAUAGGGGUUAUGAGAAAACUACCUCAUCCCACUCUCAGGACCCUGCCUCCUGGGGGGUGAACCCCUGGAUGGCACCACCUAUGCCCUACCCGCCACCAUGGCAAUACUGGACACCAUGGGCAUCAUACCCUCGGGAAUACAUGCCCCGUGGCCACUCGACCAGGCGCAACACUGAUCCAGCGCCGUCUCCUAACGAAUAUGCCAGUGACACGAGACACCUGGCAACACAGCCACGCUCCCAGGAUAAACCUAGCCCUACUCCUGUUCCAACAGAACUGGAGCUGGCACCUGAAGAAGCAUUACUUCCCCUUCCUCCCACUCCCUCAGAUGAAUAUACAAAAUUCCAGGACCUCUUUAAAAGAGUUGCCAGUGACCUGAGAAUUAACCUGGACGUGGUCACCGAACAACAGCAUGAGCUAACGAACAUCCUACAGCCCCCUUCUUCCUCCAGGGUGGCACUACCAAUUAACGCAGCCCUUUUAGAACCCGCUAAGUCCAUCUGGCAGACUCCAGCGACAAGCCUACUUACCUGCAAGCAAGCAGACAGGAAGUAUUUUAUCUCUCCAAAGGACUCUGAAUUCCUUUUUACCCACCCAGCACCAAAUUCAUUGGUAGUAGACGCUGCGAACCAGAGGGCUAGACAACAGUAUUCUCGUUCUGCCCCACCCAACAAGGAUAACAAAC